GAUGAACGCUGGCGGCGUGCCUAAUACAUGCAAGUAGAACGCUGAAGGAGGAGCUUGCUCUUCUGGAUGAGUUGCGAACGGGUGAGUAACGCGUAGGUAACCUGCCUGGUAGCGGGGGAUAACUAUUGGAAACGAUAGCUAAUACCGCAUGACAACAGUUAUUGCAUGAUAACUGUUUAAAAGGGGCAACUGCUCCACUACCAGAUGGACCUGCGUUGUAUUAGCUAGUUGGUGAGGUAACGGCUCACCAAGGCGACGAUACAUAGCCGACCUGAGAGGGUGAUCGGCCACACUGGGACUGAGACACGGCCCAGACUCCUACGGGAGGCAGCAGUAGGGAAUCGUCGGCAAUGGACGGAAGUCUGACCGAGCAACGCCGCGUGAGUGAAGAAGGUUUUCGGAUCGUAAAGCUCUGUUGCAAGAGAAGAACGAGUGUGAGAGUGGAAAGUUCACACUGUGACGGUAUCUUACCAGAAAGGGACGGCUAACUACGUG
rnacentral:rRNA from 1 species